rnacentral:misc_RNA from 1 species
GAAAUGCGAUAAGUAGUGUGAAUUGCAGAAUUCAGUGAAUCAUCGAAUCUUUGAACGCACAUUGCGCCCCUUGGUAUUCCAUGGGGCAUGCCUGUUCGAGCGUCAUUUGUACCCUCAAGCUCUGCUUGGUGUUGGGUGUUUGUCCCGUCUCCGCGCGUGGACUCGCCCCAAAGUGAUUGGCAGCCGGCGUACUGGUCCCGGAGCGCAGCACAUGUCGCGCAAACGAGUGCCUUGGUACGGCGGCGUCCAUAAGCCCCUCUCUCACGCUCUUGACCUCGGAUCAGGUAGGGAUACCCGCUGAACUAAAGC